UACGUAGGGGGCAAGCGUUGUCCGGAAUCAUUGGGCGUAAAGCGCGUGUAGGCGGCCCGGUAAGUCCGCUGUGAAAGUCGGGGGCUCAACCCUCGAAAGCCGGUGGAUACUGUCGGGCUCGAGUACGGGAGAGGCGAGUGGAAUUCCUGGUGUAGCGGUGAAAUGCGCAGAUAUCAGGAGGAACACCAAUGGCGAAGGCAGCACUCUGGGACGGUACUGACGCUGAGACGCGAAAGCGUGGGGAGCAAACAGG
rnacentral:rRNA from 1 species